UACAGAGGUGGCAAGCGUUGUUCGGAAUUACUGGGCGUAAAGGGCGAGUAGGUGGCCAUCUAAGUCAGACGUGAAAUCCCCCGGCUUAACCUGGGAACUGCGUCUGAUACUGGACGGCUUGAGUAUGGGAGAGGAACGUAGAAUUCCAGGUGUAGCGGUGAAAUGCGUAGAUAUCUGGAGGAACACCGGUGGCGAAGGCGGCGUUCUGGACUGCAACUGACACUGAGGAACGAAAGCCAGGGGAGCAAACGGG
rnacentral:rRNA from 1 species